AUGGCAUGGUGGAAGUUUUGCAUCCCCAAAAGUGAAGGUGGAAUGGGCUUUCGAGAUCUAUACUCGUUCAAUUUAGCAAUGCUUGCAAAACAGUGCUGGAGGAUUGUAACAGAACCAGAAUCCCUGGUGGCCCGUGUGUUGAAAGCUAAGUACUUUCCUAAUGGGAGUAUCCUAGAAGCUACCCUGAAAAAUGGUUCCUCCUUUACUUGGCAAAGCAUAAUGAAAGGCUUAGAAACUUUCAAAAGAGGAUAUAUCUGGAGAAUUGGCACGGGAGAACAUGUGAAUAUCUGGAACGAUCCAUGGAUACCCAGUAGUGCAGACAGGAAAGUGAUCACUCCCCGUAACCAAACACUUUUGACAAGAGUUUGUGACUUGAUGGAUCCGCUGACUGGUACGUGGGAUGAGGAGUUACUAAGAGAUGUUUUUUGGGCAGUGGAUGUGCGUAGGAUUAUGCAAAUCCCAAUAUACCCGUUAGCCUUCGACGACUUCAUUGCUUGGCAACCUAACAGGACAGGGAUCUUCACUGUAAAACAGCCUACCAUCUUUAGUGGAGUCAUACUUAUAGGGCACAUGCAAACAGGAUAG
rnacentral:rRNA from 1 species